rnacentral:rRNA from 1 species
CCUACGGGUGGCAGCAGUGAGGAAUAUUGGUCAAUGGGCGCGAGCCUGAACCAGCCAAGUAGCGUGAAGGAUGACGGCCCUACGGUUUGUAAACUUCUUUUAUAAAGGAAUAAAGUGUGGCACGUGUGCCUUUUUGCAUGUACUUUAUGAAUAAGAAUCGGCUAACUCCGUGCCAGCAGCCGCGGUAAUACGGAGGAUCCGAGCGUUAUCCGGAUUUAUUGGGUUUAAAGGGAGCGUAGAUGGGUUGUUAAGUCAGUUGUGAAAGUUUGCGGCUCAACCGUAAAAUUGCAAUUGAUACUGGCAGUCUUGAGUACAGUUGAGGUAGGCGGAAUGCGUGGUGUAGCGGUGAAAUGCAUAGAUAUCACGAAGAACUCCGAUUGCGAAGGCAGCUUACUAAACUGCGACUGACAUUGAUGCUCGAAAGUGUGGGUAUCAAACAGGAUUAGAUACCCGGGUAGUC